CUCAGUCUGAUUUCUCUCUCCUCUCCCCGGCCGAAUUUCGGCGCCCCGUUACACGUCCUCCAGGGGGAGGUUGGAGCCGACGGGCAGCCGGCGGCUGUGGGCUGUGCGGGGCUCUCGUGGCGGUGAUGCUGCAGUAACGUGUCCUCCGUGCUCCCUUCGCUGAGAUGUGCCGUGUGUGUCUGUGGCCGUGCUGAGGCUGCACGAAAGAUAUCGCGAUGGCACCGAGUCCUCUGAGAUGCGCUACGGAAAUGAUGAGAACGACUUCUGAGGCUGUGAGCGGUGGCUGAUGAGAGAA